rnacentral:lncRNA from 1 species
AUGCUUUAUCUUCUGCAGAGGCAUCGCGAUGUGCUGAGGCUGCAUGGAGGAGGCUGGAAGGUGCCCCUGUUACCUGGGCAAUUUGUGAGCUUCGUGUUACAAAGUGAUGUGCCCUGGACUUUCAGCAUGUGUUUGAGGGGAAGGAGAGUCUCACACAAAUCAAACUCAGUCUUUAAACUUCAGUCUGGAGCCACCAACAGCAGUCUGGUCCUGCUUUGUCUAAUGUGGCAUUGCACUGAUGGCUGCUGCCACUGAAGAUAUUGAAAAGUUCAGAAGAUUUUGCUGCAUGACACACGCAGAGGUGAAACUGACAAUUUCAUUCACAACGUGUUCCCAGCUGCUUGGUAAAUUGAGAUCAAGCACCUUCAUCUUAAUGAACUGCGGGACUUUGGGUGAAUGCUGAAAAACAAAACAACACACCAAGAUUCAAAGCGUAAGAACAGCUAUGUUCUGUGUGUCCCUUUUAUGUUCAGUUGCAAAUAUUUGGUUGAUUUUCAGGGACCGGGAUUUCAUAUAGGCAUUGUUGAAGAAAGUUAUGUUCUUCCCACCCAUGCUAACUUCCACUGUGAGUGGAAUAUGUUAUAUGUGGCAGAAAUCUGUUAGGGUGAUGAUAUUCUUUUAAGAGUCCUGAUGUGAAGGUGCUUAACCCAGGCAAGGAUUUGAGGGUACCUUUGUAGCACUCACACAGAAAAUUGCAUCACUCUGUUUGAGAGCCAGGGUGGUUUUUGGCAGAUGAAAUGGUGCAAUCAGACAGUGCUCAUAUUCAAAGGAGCCCCAUAAUUUCCAGGUAUUUCCUGGAAUAGUGCACCUCUGUCCUUUCCCCACCCUAUGACCCAGAGUGUGUAUUGCUCACUCCCGGGCCCUGCUCCUACCUGCCCCGAUGAAAGUUUAAAUGAGGAAAUAGCCAUUAUGUGGUUGAGUUUAGGGUUGUUUUUUUUUUUUUUUUUUUUCUAAAAGGUAUGAUACUAAGAGUGGUACAAUUUCUUCCCCAGAUUCAGUCAUUUUGCUUUUCUGCUGGCUUCCCAAACAGAUGUCAGCCCAAUUGCCUCAGUGAUGUGAGUCCUCAGUGGCAGAAUACAACCUGAAUUUUUCUCACCAUAAAACAUGGCAAGAACUUCUGUUCUUUUUGCACCAGGUUGAAAGCAAGAGCCACUAGAUUUUUUAUGAAAAACAGACAAAAUCACACUCAAUAGUAGUUUCCAUUUGCACCAAGGAUAUAGAAGACUGCAGGACAGCCUUGCUUUCCAUUUUGGAGAGCAGAGACAUGGCUUUCCCAUGUUUCCAGUGUAUGUCCUAAUCCUUUAGCUGUUUUGGAAGUAGAUUUUCUCAGUCUUUCUUGUGAGAACUUGAUCAUUUGUAUAAAUAAUUCAACACCAUAAUGAUAAUAUCCCACUUUUUUUUUAAUAAAUAAUCCUUUAAAUAAUCA